rnacentral:lncRNA from 1 species
AAUUAAAAAGGGCAAAAAAAAAAAAGCAACAAAAUAAGUUGCAAAUGGUUCUUUAAGUCUCUGCAGAAGCCUCAAAUGAAUGACUUGUGACAGCAAACAGGCUGGAUGUACAGAGAUUUUUAGAUGUCAAUGCACAUGGCUGUUCAUCUACAUCCUGAUUAGAACGCUGAUUUAAGGGGUCUGGUUCAAAGCUUUGUGGCUGCAUGGGCUGAUUGGAAUAUUGCUGUCCUGAGGAUGAGAAGAACAAUCAUGUGCCUGACUUGAAUGUGGUAAUGUAGGGUGGGGAAAAAAUAGCAAGGAGAGUGUAAAUGUUCUGUCCAGCUCCUGCCCCUUUUCUGUUGCAAAAGCAGUGGUUUGCCGCAUCUCUCUGCAGCCCUCUGUGUGUAAAACUGGCCACAGGUAGACAGAUAGUACAGCAUGUGGAGAGCUCAGCAGUCCUGAGAAAGCAAAAAGAAAUUAGCUGCAUUCAGUCCUACCCUGUCAGAGAUGUUUCAUUCACAGAAUCCUAGCUGGAGAGGGAAUGUUGUUGCUUCAGAUCUGGAAACAACCAAAUAAGUUCAGUGUGACCCCUCUGGGGUCAGAGAGCUCAGAGUGAGCAACUGCCUGGUGUUUUGAGGAGGAGGGAGGAGGAGGAAAUCAGCCUGUCUAUGCAGAAGCAAGAACUUUAGCUGUACAAACAGUCCUUAUGAUUGCCCUGAUGUCCCUUCCACCAAACUUGUAUUAACAAGGAGAGCAACUCCUUUGGGUGCUGGUUCAGUCAUUGCACUCCAACUCUGCGAAGGGAGCAGGUGGUGUCAGUAUGGUUCUACUUGACUGGGAGAUUGCACCAUGAAACACACAUCAAGGAGGGAGAUGAAGGAUCUCUGUUUGGUGACAUGGGAGUGAAUGAGUUGGAAGCAGCACUGUCGUUUCUGCCUACACAGCCGUGGGACAAGGGAGCCUGAAGGUUUGACAGGAGAAAGAUGUGGUUCCUGUUCCUCUUGAUGUUGGCUCUCGCAUUGGAGAUGCGCUGGAGGAGAAACGGGAGAUCAUCUGAAAUCUGCAUGGUUGAAAGUGGGACUGUGCCCCUCCACUCGUACUGGGCAGCAAAAGGAAAGGAUCAUCACUGUAAGUCUGGGUUGUCUUUAUACCUUACUUUCAUUUCUUCAAUUGAAAUAUCUGUCUAAGUGAAAUGAUGUUGGUUUUUUGGAAGUCUGAUUUUGUUGACUCAAUGAGAUAAAACU